UUUCAAUAUCAUUUUUAGUCA
rnacentral:piRNA from 1 species